rnacentral:rRNA from 1 species
GAUGAACGCUGGCGGCGUGCUUAACACAUGCAAGUCUAACGGUGAAGGCGGAGCUUGCUCUGCUGGAUCAGUGGCGAACGGGUGAGUAACACGUGAGCAAUCUGCCCCUGACUCUGGGAUAAGCGCUGGAAACGGCGUCUAAUACUGGAUACGAGCUGCGAAGGCAUCUUCAGCAGCUGGAAAGAACUUCGGUCAGGGAUGAGCUCGCGGCCUAUCAGCUUGUUGGUGAGGUAACGGCUCACCAAGGCGUCGACGGGUAGCCGGCCUGAGAGGGUGACCGGCCACACUGGGACUGAGACACGGCCCAGACUCCUACGGGAGGCAGCAGUGGGGAAUAUUGCACAAUGGGCGAAAGCCUGAUGCAGCAACGCCGCGUGAGGGACGACGGCCUUCGGGUUGUAAACCUCUUUUAGCAGGGAAGAAGCGAAAGUGACGGUACCUGCAGAAAAAGCGCCGGCUAACUACGUG